rnacentral:lncRNA from 1 species
UUAGCUGAGUGUGGUGGCGUGUGCCUAUGGUCCCAGCUACCCUGGAGGCUAAGGUGGGAGGAUUGCUUGAGCCCAGGAAGUUGAGGCUGCAGUGCACUUUUAUAUUAUUUGUGGUUGCGCCAGGGUGGGCAACAGAGCGAGACCCUAUCUCAAAAAAUAAAGUGAAAUAAAAUGAAAUAUUGAGUUUGUAAGUUUGUUUUAUUACUGGCACCUUUAAGCCAUCAAAAUGGCUAAAUUACUGGCACCUUUAAGCCAUCAGCACACUGUGAACCCAGAAGUUUUAACUGGAAGCUGGUAAGACCUAAAGUGAUGGUUUGCACUCAAAAGCUGCCUGUCUGAUGGCU